GCCUAGUUAGCUUAGUUGGUAGUGCGUCUGCCUUUUUCUGAGCAAAUAGUCGCGGGUUCUAUUCCCGCCCGGGGCG
rnacentral:tRNA from 1 species